CUUGUCAACAAUGACGAAGAGGACUAUAGCCACGUGUCCACUAGAUGCGAUUUUCCCGCACGGCAACGCACCGCAUCUGAAAAUUGCACGGAUGGCGGGCGGUCACUAGCGGACCACAGCAUUGUCACGUGACAGCGGUCGAGCAACAGUGGGCCACUACUCGGUCACGUGACAGCACUUUCAGCUUGACGGUCCGGUAGAUGACUCGGAUAAACACAGUGGCUCGGCCGCAAACUUUCUCUUUUAUUUUGAACACACUUCAGCGAGAGGAGCUGUUGGGCCAGGUGGCUGGUGGCUGACUGAUUCCCCCGGCGGUGGUAGUCCCUUCACUCCCUGUAUAGUAGUGCACUUGGGUGUCCGUCAAUGGUUUUGUUUUGUUCGCGUGUCAUCAGGACCCUUCCCUUCCCCCCUUCAGUUAGUCAUCCCUGCCUGGAGCUGUUGGGCCAGGUGGCUGGUGGCUGACUGAUUCCCCCGGCGGUGGUGGUCCCUUCACUCCCUGUACAGUAGUGCACUUGGGUGUCCGUCAAUGGUUUUGUUUUAUUCACAUGUGGUGUGGUGCAUCAGGACCCUUCCCUUCCCCCCUUCAGUUAGUCAUCUCUGCCUGGUAAGCCCUCAGCCCUGUGCCUAGUGACUGUCUUUCGGUGGCAAACUUAACUAAUCCAGGGGGGCCCCUGGAGGAUUAGAUUAAUAUUGUGCCACUUACUACCGAGUUAUUUCUUGGCAUCACCACCAAGGGUUUUUUAGUGAGGAAAGAGUGUAAAUUUUUAAAUACUGUUAAUAAAUUUCAUUUUUCUAUACUUUAUUUGGAAUCGCGUCAGUCUCUGGUGUCUGUCGUACCUGUGUGACCUUUCCUUUGUCUGUAUUGGAGCAGUGGUCCUCUCUCCAUAGAUCUCCUGGGGGUGAAAUUCCCCCAGGUGGCGUUGUCGGACAUGUGAUAAAUAACAAAAGUACAUUCAAUCCCUCGUACCCUUGCCACAUGUGCAGUAACUCAAUCUUUCCUCGUUUUAGUUCACCGACGGCUAGUUUAGAUGUUUGAGGACAGUUUCACGAUGCACGGAAUCUCCGCACACCGCAUUGCAUUUGCAUAAAGUAGAAGUCCAGUCUACUUUAUGCAAAUGAGCUGCAGGCCCGCUCCGGGUAAACACACUGGACCACAGCUGGAAACGAACCGCAACCGGACCAGCAUGCAACUGCGAUGUGUUUCCAGCUGCGAGCCGGUGUGUAAGUUGUUUAUGUUGUGUCAAC
ensembl:lncRNA